rnacentral:lncRNA from 1 species
GUCAAUAAUCUUUGAGGAUUUAUGCUAAUUUAACCAGAAAUGCUCUUUCAGAACAUGGAUUUAUCACAUGUCAUAGAACACUGAAGUCACAUUAGAAUGUGGUUAAUUUCUCCACUGAGCUUAGAAGCACAUGGUUUGCAGAACAUUGGCUACAGUAAGAACAUACUCUGCAUAAGAGAGGGUUCAACAUUAACAACAAUGUCUGUAAAAACAGAAUCACAGCUGUCAAGAAGAGCGCUAUCUGCAUAAUUGCUUAAAGAUUUUACUGCAAAAUUAAUAUCCUUGCUGUGAACAAGGGAACAAGGCAAAAACCAGGAUGACAGAGCCUGAGAUGAGGUGAAAAGCAAAUCCAAUUUUUCCUUGCACCAUAGAAACCUCGUCAGGACUAGCUUUAUCUGGUAAUCCACAUUUAAACUUUAACCUGUAGGGGGGCUCUUUGUGUUAGAUAAUGUAAGCAUAAAAGGAGGCUGAAUCGCUAAUCAGAUUAAUCAUAUUUUGUAAGACUCAAAAGCUUCAUUAAAAGGAACUGGUAUCCAAGUUACACAUUGUUGUUGUUGUUGUUGUUGUUGGCAGAAUAAGAGUUUAUCAUUAAAAAAAAAAAAGAAUGACAUGAAAAUGCUCAAAUGUCUGCAACUUUUAGUGAACCUAUAGCAAACAAGACUAAAAGACCAAAUCAAAUCCUAAUUCAUAAAAUUACUUUACAUCCCAACAGAGUCAACACAUAGAUUACUUCAGUUUCUUCAUAUUUUAAUCUUAGAAGACAAUAUUUGAUAGAGGUUGUGACAGC